rnacentral:rRNA from 1 species
ACGCUCGACACCUACGGCAGCAGUGGGGAAUAUUGGGCAAUGGGCGCAAGCCUGACCCAGCAACGCCGCGUGAAGGAAGAAGGCUUUCGGGUUGUAAACUUCUUUUGUCAGGGACGAAGACGUGACGGUACCUGACGAAUAAGCUCCGGCUAACUACGUCGCACAGCCGCGGUAAUCUGAGCGGGCUGGCAAGGC